rnacentral:rRNA from 1 species
UUCAUAGAGUGUAAAGGCAUAAGGGAGCUUGACUGCGAGACCUACAAGUCGAGCAGGGUCGAAAGACGGACUUAGUGAUCCGGUGGUUCCGCAUGGAAGGGCCAUCGCUCAACGGAUAAAAGCUACCCCGGGGAUAACAGGCUUAUCUCCCCCAAGAGUUCACAUCGACGGGGAGGUUUGGCACCUCGAUGUCGGCUCAUCGC